AGAGUUUGAUCCUGGCUCAGGAUGAACGCUGGCGGCGUGCCUAAUACAUGCAAGUAGAACGCUGAAGACUUUAGCUUGCUAGAGUUGGAAGAGUUGCGAACGGGUGAGUAACGCGUAGGUAACCUGCCUACUAGCGGGGGAUAACUAUUGGAAACGAUAGCUAAUACCGCAUAACAGUGUUUAACACAUGUUAGAUGCUUGAAAGAUGCAAUUGCAUCACUAGUAGAUGGACCUGCGUUGUAUUAGCUAGUUGGUGGGGUAACGGCCUACCAAGGCGACGAUACAUAGCCGACCUGAGAGGGUGAUCGGCCACACUGGGACUGAGACACGGCCCAGACUCCUACGGGAGGCAGCAGUAGGGAAUCUUCGGCAAUGGGGGCAACCCUGACCGAGCAACGCCGCGUGAGUGAAGAAGGUUUUCGGAUCGUAAAGCUCUGUUGUAAGAGAAGAACGUGUGUGAGAGUGGAAAGUUCACACAGUGACGGUAACUUACCAGAAAGGGACGGCUAACUACGUGCCAGCAGCCGCGGUAAU
rnacentral:rRNA from 1 species